GUGCCAGCCGCCGCGGUAAUACAGAGGGGGCAAGCGUUGUUCGGAAUUACUGGGCGUAAAGGGCGCGUAGGCGGCCUGUUAAGUCGAACGUGAAAUCCCCGGGCUCAACCCGGGAACUGCGUCCGAUACUGGCAGGCUUGAAUCCGGGAGAGGGAUGUGGAAUUCCAGGUGUAGCGGUGAAAUGCGUAGAUAUCUGGAGGAACACCGGUGGCGAAGGCGGCAUCCUGGACCGGUAUUGACGCUGAGGCGCGAAAGCCAGGGGAGCAAACGGGAUUAGAUACCCGGGUAGUCC
rnacentral:rRNA from 1 species